CAAAAUUGCAUCUCGAAAACUUCUCGGUGUACUUUCCAGACUCUUUGGGUGAAAACCAUGAGUUUGGUCUUCUAGUGCAAUCUCUUGACUAUAGAUAAUAGGCAUACAGACUGUACAUAAAAUAUGUUGUAGGUAGGCCGAACAAGAAGCACCAGUGGUCUAGUGGUAGAAUAGUACCCUGCCACGGUACAGACCCGGGUUCGAUUCCCGGCUUGGUGCAUUUUUACUUUUUUUUAUCCACUUGGCAUGGGAUGGCAAGGAAGGAUUUUUAAUACAUGGCCUUUUGCAUUUGCGCACGUUCCCUUUUUUAAGCUGAUUUUCAAUUUGCUUGGUUAGUCUUCCUCCCAAAAGAUGAGUGACUUGGCACAAGAUAUAUCUGUGCGGUAAAAUCAGUUUGUAGACUUGUUUCAAACCAAAAAAUCGGUUUGUAGAGAGAGGGGCAUUUUGGUGGCCGAGCUACCUGGAGGCCGGUAUCUGGGCCGUGGUUUAUCGCGCCAUGAUGUGUGCUGCUUUAUUUUCGUUUUCUUAUACAGUCGCCAUUAAGUUGAAAUACAUCGGUGCCAUGAUCUCGGGUGCUGCUUUGUACACGGGCCUGAUGUUCAGUGUUUUCUGCACAGACGUCAUGUACCUCCUGGGCUGCUUUAAAUGUCGCACGAGUAGGUGGGUUGUUGGGUGAUUAAUAAUGUUUCUAUGGGCCCAUGUGAACCUGCAGAUAGCUUCCAUUUACUUCGAGAGUGAACAGCUUUUCUGCCUCGCUAGGCCCGACGGCCAUUCAUCGUUUCUCGUGGCAGCUAGGUUUGCGACGGAUCGCUAUGGAUGGGCUGGAGUUCUUCUUCGAGGAAGCCAAAUCAGGUGGUUCGUUGCAGAUUGACUCCCAGGGUGGAGGUCGGUGAUCUUUUAGGGGGCGGGGGGGAUAUCGCUGCUGUGGAAUUGGUCGUUGCUCGAACCCAAGCAAGAUUUUCAAGAUUGAUUUUCAGUACUGCUUGUGCUUGAAAUUCAGUUUACUAGCUGAAUAAUCAGCUGUUUGUCAAAUGGAAGAUUUUCAGAACUGCUUGUGCUUGCGUAGUUGUGAGCUUGUUUCUAUGUUUGUGUCGCUGUCGUGCAUCACUUGUUUAAAAAAAAUCAUGUAAUGCACUGACUUUGUCAUGGUGCUCUGUUCAAGAGUGUGAGUAACUGUAUCAGCGAUUGGAA